GAUAAAUAAAUAUCAGAUGGCCUUAAGUCCUUUUCCUACACUGAGACAGAAAUUUAAUGCUUGUUCUCCUGUUUAUGUGGAUUGCAAGUUUGGCUUUUCUGUUACAGAU